CCGAGCUCCUCUUUUAGGAUUGGCUGCCCCGUCAUAUCCCUAAUAUAAUUAAAACAAGGGAGGAAAAAACUUUUAUCAUGGAGGCAGAGGUUAAUGCAAGUGUUUAGCAGAUGCUGUUCGGCAAAAUCUUCUUUUUAAAUAAACUCAUUAAAACAAAAUAUUGGAUCAUUUCAACCCAGGAAUAAUGCAAUAAGUUAGGCUUCUGCAUCCACCGGUUAAGUCUCUUCGAACUGGAUGAGCAAGAAGAGCAAGAGACGAGAAAAGUCUCUUAAUAAUAUACUGGAACUGAGUACAUGGCAUUUUGUCAUGUAAAGCUCAGCGGAUGAUCUGUGCCAGCAGAGGAAUCCUACGGAGGGCGCAAUUCGGCAGCAGCGUCUUCACCUUCCCUGAGUGCAAUAUGAAGUGUAUGGCUAUCUGCUUUACAAGACACAGCCCAAAGAAGCAAAGCUUCACAAUUGUUUUUCGGUCCCAGUGGUUGUCAUUGUAGUUCAUCAUAUGUGCAGACACGCUAUACGCUCCCCCUUUCUUCUCCCAAACAGCCAGAGAGCAGCUCAAACAUUUAUUUUGCAUCUUACUUGUCUUCCCCCCCCACCCCGCGAAAAGAUUCAAAGUGCAUGAUAGCGGUUGGAAAAACAUUUUUCAGCUUGGUCGUGUGUGCUAUUUUUGAAAGCAGUCAGAAUUAAACUAAAUAUUUAAAAAAGAGUAGAUAGCUCAUGGUUUUGUGAAAAAUACUGAUCUUUUCAUAUAUUUAUUUUCUUCUGUUUAUCCAAGAUAAAUAAAAGUAAACAGGCCAUAAGGGUUUAAUGAAAUUAAACAGGCCAGAGGAAUAGAACCGCAUGUUUUAUGUUUUAGGAGACUGACCUCCUAAUAAGUGUUGUCCUUUUCUAAACCCUAUUUUACAUUAUUUUUAAAAUAGAGAGGUGAAUUUAACAAACCAUCAAACACACAAAAGCUCCUGGAGGGGGGGAGUAGAUUAAAAUAUAAAGCAAAGAAUCAAUGGAAUCUAUAGUUUUGAAAACUGAAAUAUAGAAUACUACCUGGUAAAUUAAAGAAUUUCGCAUACAAAUGUCUUCCCUAAAGAACCAAAUUCAUCCAGCAUUGUCCAAUUCUCAACAUUAGUUUAAUAACUUAAAAAAUAAUAAUCCAUGGUGUACAUUGGCUGGAUAACCUUAUUCUGAAAAGCCUUCCUAGCACGGGUAAUUCUUACUCAAGGAAGUAGUUACCCUUACUCAAUGGGACAAUUGUCUUGAGUAACAACAGCUCAUGUAAGUAAGGAUUUGCAGGAUCGGGCCCAAGAGGUAUCUCUAGCAUCUUUCAUGAAUAAGCUAAUGAAUUUUUCUAUUCUGAUUUUAGAAUGAUCUUGCUUAGAAGAUUGUUGUUCCUAAUUAGGUUCUAAGUAAUCUAAACAAAAUACACAAUUUUAGUGUUUAAGUUGUCCUUUACCUUAUCCCUCCAAAAUAUUAUGGAACACAGAAUCUUGGCUUUUUGAAUGCGGAAUUAAAAUCUGGCCCGUGGCUGGAAAUGUUUAGAUCAGGUACCCCCAGCUUCUUCUAACUACAGUACCUGGCUGGGAGCAGAGGAGCAGAAAGAUGGAGCUUUUUUGUGGGUGGUUAAAAACGGAGGCCUUUACAAGCCAACUCUGGUUUGACCCCUUCACCUCAUGGGAGGAGCCAGGGUUCCCCUUAUCCCUGUUUGUGCCCUAACUACCUCACAGCAAGCACUGUCUCCCCGUGAAUCGUUUGAAAAGUUUAGAUGUGUUCAAAUUUAUAGAGUGCAUAAUGUCAUUGACCUGAGACCAAAUAUAUUAGAAAGAGAGAUAAUUCUCAAAUAUAUUUUGAAGUGUCUAAGUACCAAGUGCCCUAUGGAUGGCAAUCUACAUACUACUAAACCUCCAGUUAGAAGUCCAUAAACUAAACUCAACAUAGAAACCCUGCAAUAAUAUGGAGUUUUGAAGGGACGCUGGAGAAAUAUCAUUUGAAGUCAAACCUGUCAAUUCGCGUUAAUGAAAAUAACUCUUGCCACGUUAGUUGCACUCAGUUACACUCAUGCAGCCACAUCAUUGAUUUCAACGGGUCUAGCAAAGGGCAGAAUUUGGCCCUGCAAGUCUGCUUUAAUUGCUGCGGAUGGACGUAUAGGAACCCUGGUGUUCGUUACUAUUAUCAGUACUGAAGGGUGCAAAUAUUUAAGGCAUGAUAAUCUGUGCCAUUAAGUAUGUAUUUUAUACAUACGCGUAUAUAAACCCCAACAACAAGAUAGCGUUCACUUUGUAAGUUUAAAUGAUGUGCAAUAAACCCACAAACACACCAAUUUUACCCCUGCAUGUGUGAGUAAUUAUUCAAAGAUUGCUUCUAUUUGGGACGAAGGACACAGAGUUGUAUUGAUGCCACUUAAAAGAAUUUAAGAAACCCAGUGAUCCCCAGAAGAAUAAUAAAGCCUUCAUAAAAUACUCUAUUGAACAGACAAUAUUUCUUAUUGAGUUUGUGGUGUUCACAUAGUUUCCCCUCGUUUAAUGUUUGCAUUCCUGGGGGAACUGUGUUUUGAAGCUGCUUUUAAAAUCAGUGCUGAUGGGAUUGCUUGGGCGAAAGGAAUUGUUUUGAUCAAUAAAUAUUUUCCUGAUAACAUUAGGUUUACGUGCUUGCGGGAAACAAAGAUUAGCCUGGCAUUACUUUGGUUGUAUGCUAAAAAAAAUUAAGCACUUUUAUUGUCAAUAUUAAUGGAGACCCUCAACUUAGGUUUGGUUUUAAGCAAUGUUCAGAGAUAAAAAGCAACCCUAUUUGACCUAAAAAUAUCCCACUUCAGCUUCGACAAUUAACUGUAAUUUUGCCCAAACUGCCACAGUGUUAACGUCGUACUUUCUGUGCCACUCGGUUCAUCUACCUGCUGUAACAUAUUGUGCUAUGACUUGCCCACUAAUUAUUCAAAUACAAAGACUUGUGGUUGAAAGCAGCUGCCUACAGCAAAUGUUGUGUAACACACUUGUUCAGAAGCAUCAGUGUGUUUAGCUGCAACCACCACAAUUCCUAUAUAUGUAUCUACAUGUAAUUGAUCUAGUUGAGUGACGUCCUUUUUGGUAAUUUGGAUACACCAAGUCUCCAGUUAAUGACACAUAAUCAGCCUUUAGGUCACUUGGUCAUUCUCUUAUUACAAACCCCUCCUGCUCUCUCUGAUCUCCUUUCAAACUAAAUUUCACACAAACAAAUAAAGUAAGACAGGGACAAGGGAGAAAUAUUGGAAAACUUUUGAUAGAGCACUAUAAACAUUUGAGAAGAAAAUCUAAAAGAGGAUAGGAAAGAACAUCUUAUCAAAAAGAGAGCAUUGUGUACAAAACUUGAAGAGAAAAAGUUUCUGGCUUAUGUUAGAAAUGACACAAAAUUAAAAUAAAAAUAAUUACUAACAGAAAUGUCAUAACAUAAACACAGAAGGCAGGAGACUUACUGGAAAUGCGCACCAGUAGUGUAAUUUAUUGUUAUAGAUUAUACAACCGAUAUGUGAUUCGAAAAAUGUUUCUUUGACUCACUUUGACCAGCAAAACCUUUUUAUUUUUUACUCUUAUUUUAUUAAAGCGAAACUGAACAAACUGAGAAAUAAAGACCAAAAUGUAAUUUACUUGUAAAAAUCUAUAGAAAAAAAAAAAAGAAACGACUUCAUGGAUAUAGCAUUGUGUUAACGUGAUAAUAAAAAUCAAUAUUUUAUAUAACUAAAGAUCUUAACAUAGUUUUUCUUUUUUUACCAGCAGGAGGUAAAGAACCAUUUUACUAGAUACUUUAAGAAUAUUCUUUUGAUCUGCGUCCAGAUGUUCCUGUGACACAGAAGCUCCUUGGCAAAGGGUGCCCUGUUCUUUGCAAGGAACUCUAAUUUCAGACCUGAAAAACUCACUACACCAAACAUGUCUUGCAGGAUAUUUAUCCAUAAAAAAAAUUGCGGGCGUGACGAGCAGAGAAGAUUCUCAGUGCAACCUUAAAAGGGGAAGAGGAAGAAAAUAUCCUCACUGCUCUGUUCUUUGUGGUGAUCAUGGUGGUACUGAAGAAGCUGCUGUUGACUCCAGACAGCACCUUGAAAGACAGAAGUCCUUGUGUCCACUUUCUCUGGCCUGUGUACAAGUGCAGAAGAACUGGAGGCAGUAUUCCUGCAGUGAUUGCACCAGUGCCAAAUACAGAGGUAAAAGAGCCCCUCUGUUCUUAUGGACCUGACUCACGGUUCAGGCUGAACUUUGAUUUACCCUUGUGCUUUCCUUAUUCCAGGCCUGACCCUUGCUGUAAAUCAAAGCAGCCUUAAAGCUGCUCUAACUUGUGCUGGUUGCCCAUGGCCACAAGGGACUAUUCUAGCACCUGAGAAUAGCCAGAACACAGAAACAGUCUGGCCAUACCUCCUGGCCUCCGAUCAUGGCUCCUCUGCUAGGGGCUGUGAUGGGGACAGUGUUGUUACAUCUGUUCUAUGUCACCUGGGGAAUCCCCUGCACCCUGAGUGUGGCCCAGUGCCUGGAUCAGCUAGUAUCAGAGCUCUGUUAUGCUCCUCUAGUGGCACAGAGGGGCCAAAAGACAAUGGAGAGUCAGGCCCAUCUGUGAAUAUUUUUUCCCUCUGAGAUUUGUAAUGAAAAAUCAAUUAUAAAAAAGUUUAACCAGGGCUUACUGGAAGCUUGUCAGUGAGUGUCUUUUAAACUCUCUCUCCAAUCAAUGGAAAAUAUUCCUGUGAAUCAAAUUCUGCCCUCUCUACAUGUGUUAAAUACCCAUUAAAGUUGAUGGCUGAGCAAGUCUGAGGGCAGAGUCUAACCCCCAUGUAAAUUCAUCCUUUCUGAUUCUAGCUGGUGGUGGUGUUAUAAAGGUGGAUCUUAUUGGAUUACAGUAUGUUCACUGCAAUCUACGUCAAAGGCACACAUAUUCCACAAUAUUCAUAGUGGGGCAAUGUAAUAGGAAACAAAACAUCCUUAAAGCAGCUCCUUUAAAAAAAAUGAAAGCCCAGCAACACACUUAUCUUUCACCCACAUAAAACCACACCAUUACCACUGAGAUGGCCUAGUGCUUGGAUGAGAUCAGCCCUUGGAUGAAGAAGAGCUGAGUGAAGCUGAAUCCAAGCAAGAGAGAAGUUAUAUUGGUGGACAGGGGAAAGCACUUGGAAGACUUUGCAGCCAUGCUGCAGUCUCCUUUGGUUGAUGAUAUGCAUCCACAGUCAGUCUGUAGUUUAGGUGUGCUCCUGGAUUCCUCAUUGACACCGAGUUCCCAUCUAGCAGCAGCAUCCACGAGUAAUGCUUUCUACCAUCAUCAGUUGGCAAGGAGAUGCUGUCACAUCCUGGCAGAUGAUGAGCUGACAAAUAUACAGACUUUUGUCACCUGCUAUCUGGGCUACAGUGAGGCAAUAUACAGGGCCCAUUCCGGGUGCCAACUUCCAAUGAAUGACAUACUGCUCGGGGUUGGUUUUUUUUUGCUUGGCCACUUUGGGAAAUGCCAAAAAUAUUUCCCCUCACCCUAGCUGGCAAAAUGCCUAGGGCUUCUCCUAUCUAAACAAAGGCUUCUGCGCUUAGGAAAUUCCAACCAGAGGUGUAGUGGAGCUGAAACACACUGGAGCAGAGUCCUGACACUUUUUCUGCAAUGGAGUAUGACAUUUUGUUCUCAGAAUGGAGCCCUUUGAACAGCAUGACCAUACAUCUGCGUCUAAGGUCAUGUCAGUGGGGGCAUUCUUGUAGUGUGUAGGCCAUUCGGGACUACAUGACGGACUUCAACUGGCACAGAAUGCUGCAGCAUGUAUCCUCAGCAACUUGGGCUACUGCAAGCACAUCACACUGGCCUUCCACUCUCUAUGAUGGCUUCCCAUAAACUAUUGAGUCAAAGUUCAGGGUCUGUUUUCUAAUCUUAAGAUGCUCAAUAGCCUGGGUCUAGGAUAGCUAAAAGAUUUCCUAAAGCUCCAGGAUGAAUACUGCAGUCAACAACUCUGCUUCUCAGGCACAAUGGAAAUUUCUACUACAAGGGUAAAGCUCAUCUGUGAAGGAGACAGCAUUAUCUUGGGGACAGGUCUGA